GACGAACGCUGGCGGCGUGCUUAACACAUGCAAGUCGAACGGAAAGGCCCUGCUUGCAGGGUCCUCGAGUGGCGAACGGGUGAGUAACACGUGGGUGAUCUGCCCUGCACUUCGGGAUAAGCCUGGGAAACUGGGUCUAAUACCGGAUAGGAGCCAUUUUUAGUGUGAUGGUUGGAAAGUUUUUUCGGUGUAGGAUGAGCUCGCGGCCUAUCAGCUUGUUGGUGGGGUAAUGGCCUACCAAGGCGGCGACGGGUAGCCGGCCUGAGAGGGUGGACGGCCACAUUGGGACUGAGAUACGGCCCAGACUCCUACGGGAGGCAGCAGUGGGGAAUAUUGCACAAUGGGCGCAAGCCUGAUGCAGCGACGCCGCGUGGGGGAUGACGGCCUUCGGGUUGUAAACUCCUUUCGCUAGGGACGAAGCUUUUUGGGACGGUACCUAGAUAAGAAGCACCGGCUAACUACGU
rnacentral:rRNA from 1 species